rnacentral:rRNA from 1 species
GGAUGCUUGCAUCCGCUGACGAGUGGCGCACGGGUGCGUAACGCGUAUAGAACCUACCUUUUACUGGGGGAUAGCCCGGAGAAAUCCGGAUUAAUACCCCAUAGUAAUGUCUCAGGGCAUCCUGAGAUGUUUAAAGCUUCGGCGGUAAAAGAUGGCUAUGCGUCUUAUUAGCUAGUAGGCGAGGUAACGGCUCACCUAUGCAACGAUAAGUAGGGGCCCUGAGAGGGGGAUCCCCCACACUGGUACUGAGACACGGACCAGACUCCUACGGGAGGCAGCAGUGAGGAAUAUUGGACAAUGGUCGAGAGACUGAUCCAGCCAUGCCGCGUGCAGGAAGACGGCCCUAUGGGUUGUAAACUGCUUUUGUACGGGAAGAAUAAUACCCACGUGUGGGUAGAUGACGGUACCGUACGAAUAAGGACCGGCUAACUCCGUGCCAGCAGCCGCGGUAAUACGGAGGGUCCGAGCGUUAUCCGGAAUCAUUGGGUUUAAAGGGUCCGCAGGCGGGCCAGUAAGUCAGGGGUGAAAGUUUGCGGCUUAACCGUAAAAUUGCCUUUGAUACUGCUGGUCUUGAGUUGCGGUGAAGUGGCCGGAAUAUGUGGUGUAGCGGUGAAAUGCAUAGAUAUCACAUAGAACACCGAUUGCGAAGGCAGGUCACUAACCGCCGACUGACGCUGAUGGACGAAAGCGUGGGGAGCGAACGGGAUUAGAUACCCCGGUAGUCCACGCCGUAAACGAUGGACACUAGCUGUCGGGCCUUAUGGUUCGGCGGCCCAGCGAAAGUGAUAAGUGUCCCACCUGGGGAGUACGUCGGCAACGAUGAAACUCAAAGGAAUUGA